rnacentral:tRNA from 2 species
GGCGAAAUGGUGUAACGGUAACACAACAGGUUUUGACCCUGUUGAUUCUGGUUCGAUUCCAGAUUUUGCAUCCA